AGUAUAUUGGGAAACAUCUAUAUUUUCUUUUUCCUCCGAGGAUUUCUUAUCAGAUUUGCUGUAAGAUAUAUAUUUUGUAUCCUGCCACAUUAUAUUAGUCAGCACGGCAUUACCAGAACUCUACCUUCUCUAGUCUCCAGCACCCUUAAAUUUAUGAUUCAUUCAUGCCUGAGGCAAAGGCAAAGGAACUAGUUCCUUUAAAAGUGGGCCAGAAGCGUGGGGCCAGUGUGAUGCCGCUCUCCAAAUGGAGCCCUUUCUGAAAACACAGAAAGAGUGAAGGAGAUUACAGGCACAAUACUCCGCCAUGUUCUCCGUACCCAGAACUCCCAGGGGUCUGCUUGAGUCCUCACAAAAGCAUUGAUCUCUCUUUAUUGAUCGACUUUAUGUACCACUUUUCCUCCUCCUGCUCCCCUCCAUCUUUUUGUUUUCUCAGUGUCACCCUGUUUGCUCACCUUGCCAAGUAAGAACUCCAGAUCUAUUUGAAAAGGCCUUGGAGUGCCGUUCAUUUCCUUCUCAUCUGUGAAACCCUUUGAGAUUUAUGCUGUCCUACCGUGACAAUUUUUGGCCAGGGACACGACGUUGCUGUUGGACCAAUGUUUGCUGGGCACUUAGCACAUACUACACAUAAACACAGAAUUACAAUGUGACGCACAGGGCGGGUGAGAGCCGUGAGGGAACGGCGCGAGGCCGGUGACGCGAGAGUUAACGAUCUUCACCUGCGAGUCGCAUAGGCCUCACGAAGGAGCUCCGGAAGCAUAAAAGGAGGUGCGACAACAGUGAAGGACGAGAGAGGACCAGGCCUGGACUUUAUUUUAUGUUUUGUUAAGUUAGUGUGGCCAGCAGUUGUCCGUGAGGAACUGCCAGCGUUACUUUCGUUUGGUUCUUUGUUUAUUUUGAAUUAAAGUUAUGUUUGAACGUU